GACGAACGCUGGCGGCGUGCUUAACACAUGCAAGUCGAACGGAAAGGCCCUGCUUUUGUGGGGUGCUCGAGUGGCGAACGGGUGAGUAACACGUGAGUAACCUGCCCUUGACUUUGGGAUAACUUCAGGAAACUGGGGCUAAUACCGGAUAGGAGCUCCUGCCGCAUGGUGGGGGUUGGAAAGUUUCGGCGGUUGGGGAUGGACUCGCGGCUUAUCAGCUUGUUGGUGGGGUAGUGGCUUACCAAGGCUUUGACGGGUAGCCGGCCUGAGAGGGUGACCGGCCACAUUGGGACUGAGAUAUGGCCCAGACUCCUACGGGAGGCAGCAGUGGGGAAUAUUGCACAAUGGGCGGAAGCCUGAUGCAGCAACGCCGCGUGCGGGAUGACGGCCUUCGGGUUGUAAACCGCUUUCGCCUGUGACGAAGCGUGAGUGACGGUAAUGGGUAAAGAAGCACCGGCUAACUACGUG
rnacentral:rRNA from 1 species